rnacentral:rRNA from 1 species
UACGGAGGGUGCGAGCGUUGUUCGGAAUCACUGGGCGUAAAGAGCGUGUAGGCGGUCCGCUAAGUCUGAUGUGAAAGCCCGGGGCUCACCCCCGGAAGGGCAUUGGAAACUGACGGACUCGAGUCCCGAAGAGGAGGGUGGAAUUCCUGGUGUAGCGGUGAAAUGCGUAGAUAUCAGGAGGAACACCGGUGGCGAAGGCGGCCCUCUGGACGGUGACUGACGCUGAGACGCGAAAGCGUGGGGAGCAAACAGG